rnacentral:misc_RNA from 1 species
GAUGAAGAACGUAGCGAAAUGCGAUAAGUAAUGUGAAUUGCAGAAUCCAGUGAAUCAUCGAAUCUUUGAACGCACAUUGCGCCCGCCAGCAUUCUGGCGGGCAUGCCUGUUCGAGCGUCAUUUCAACCCUCGACCUCCCUUUGGGGAAGUCGGCGUUGGGGACCGGCAGCACACCGCCGGCCCUGAAAUGGAGUGGCGGCCCGUCCGCGGCGACCUCUGCGUAGUAAACCAACUCGCACCGGAACCCCGACGUGGCCACGCCGUAAAACACCCAACUUCUGAACGUUGACCUCGAAUCAGGUAGAACUACCCGCUGAACUUAAGCAUAUCAAUAAGCGGAGGA